CCUACGGGGGGCAGCAGUGGGGAAUAUUGCGCAAUGGGCGAAAGCCUGACGCAGCGACGCCGCGUGAGGGAUGAAGGUCUUCGGAUCGUAAACCUCUGUCAGCAGGGGAGAACGGUCACUGUGCUAAUCAGCAGUGAAUUGCCGGUACCUGAAGAAGAAGCCCCGGCUAACUACGUGCCAGCAGCCGCGGUAAGCCGUAGGGGGCAAGCGUUAUCCGGAUUUACUGGGUGGAAAGGGGGCGCAGACGGCGAUGCAAGCCAGGAGUGAAAGCCCGGGGCCCAACCCCGGGACGGCUCUUGGAACUGGGUGGCUAGAGUGCAGGAGGGGCAGGCGGAAUUCCUGGUGUAGCGGUGAAAUGCGUAGAUAUUAGGAGGAACACCAGUGGCGAAGGCGGCCUGCUGGACGACAACUGACGGUGAGGCGCGAAAGCGUGGGGAGCAAACAGGAUUAGAUACCCGAGUAGUC
rnacentral:rRNA from 1 species